rnacentral:rRNA from 1 species
UACGGAGGGUGCAAGCGUUGCUCGGAAUUAUUGGGCGUAAAGGGUAGGUAGGUGGUCUCAUUUGUCUGGGGUGAAAGCCUUGAGCUUAACUCAAGAAGUGCCCCAGAAACGGUGAGACUAGAGUCUUGGAGAGGGUCGUGGAAUUCCCGGUGUAGCGGUGAAAUGCGUAGAGAUCGGGAGGAACACCAGAGGCGAAAGCGGCGACCUGGACAAGUACUGACACUCAACUGCGAAAGCGUGGGGAGCAAACAGG